rnacentral:lncRNA from 1 species
ACAUAAUUUAAAAAUAUGGAUUGAAUUAGAAGUUAUGUAGGGGGUUAAAUGAAUAUUAUUCACCCCUGGGAAGAGUAUUUGAUAUUUUGGCUCUAACAUCUGUAUGUUUUGCUUUUAGUUUAUAUUCUAUAUACAAGUACUAUCAUUAUUGACAACAGGAAUAAAUUCACAUAUGAUGCUUCGAUCAGCCAAGACAUUAGGUUUGUGUGCUCUCUCCCUCCCAAGACAAAUGGCCAUUCGAAAUGCCAUUCAACACAUACAGCAUAUUAUACGGAAUUCAAUAACUUUAUUUAAG